rnacentral:rRNA from 1 species
AGCGAACGCUGGCGGCGUGCCUAACACAUGCAAGUCGAACGUGAAAGGGAGCAAUCCCAAGUAAAGUGGCGUACGGGUGAGUAACACGUAGGUAAUCUACCCCAGAAUCUGGACUAACCGGCCGAAAGGCUGGCUAAUACUGGAUAGAGCGACGGAAUCCGUAAUUGGGUUUUUCGGGAAAGGGAGCCUGUAAAAAGGCCUUCGUUCUGGGAUGAGCCUGCGUCCCAUCAGCUAGUUGGUGAGGUAAAAGCUUACCAAGGCAAUGACGGGUAGCUGGUCUGAGCAGACGUACAGCCACCCUGGAACUGAAACACGGUCCGGACUCCUACGGGAGGCAGCAGUAGGGAAUCUUGCGCAAUGGACGAAAGUCUGACGCAGCAACGCCGCGUGAGUGAAGAAGGCCUUCGGGUUGUAAAGCUCUGUCGAGUGGGACGAAAAUGCUUGGAGUUCACAGCUCCAGGAACUGACGGUACCACUAAAGGAAGCACCGGCUAACUCCGUG